rnacentral:rRNA from 1 species
AUGCAACGCACAAGAAUUCUCCUUCAAACUACCAUUCCUGCCCUGUUGGGGUUUUGUGACAACUUUGUAAAACUCAUAGCAUCAAAGUUGAAGGUCAAGGACACGGACACGGACACGGUGAUCCCAGCAAUGGCGAAUCCGUGGCAUCAAGGUGGCUCCCGGAAAUACUUGUCAUCAAAAUGGAUGGAAAUGGAUGUAUCUACAACUAAAAUACAUCUAGAUACAUCCAUUUUCAAUGACAAGUAUUUCCGGAAGGAGGGAGUACAUCACAAGGUGCGGCCGAGGUCGGUCAUAUCCUGCAUAUUUACGAGGCCGCUCCCGGGAAGAUGGUUAACCGGGAUAAGUCGUCUAUCUAUCAUGUCCAGCAACAACACUAGGGAGACCUGCCGUCAAGCAUGUGGUGACGCAGGCGCUAGGGUUGCAGCAACGAACGACCAAUGGUAA